rnacentral:rRNA from 1 species
UACGGAGGGUGCAAACGUUGCUCGGAAUCAUUGGGCGUAAAGCGCACGUAGGCGGCUUAGCAAGUCGGAUGUGAAAUCCCUCGGCUCAACCAAGGAAGUGCAUCCGAAACUGCUGAGCUUGAGUACUUAAGAGGAUCGCGGAAUUCCCGGUGUAGAGGUGAAAUUCGUAGAUAUCGAGAGGAACACCGGUGGCGAAGGCGGCUUCCUGGACAGUUACUGACGCUGAGACGCGAAAGCGUGGGGAGCAAACAGG